rnacentral:tRNA from 1 species
AGGGGUAUAGCUCAAGUGAUAGAGCGCAUGCUUAGCAUGCAUAAGGCCCUGGGUUCAAUCCCCAGCACCUCCU